AUGUCGUGAUGAGGACAUUUCCUAAGAAAAUCGUUCAACCAUUCCCAUACGUCGUGAAAUAUUUCCCUAUCCCCUUGUGAGAAUUCACAAAUUGAAGUUCUCAUUGC